AUCUUUGGUUAUCUAGCUGUAUGAGUGUUAGUCAACCAUCAUAAAGCUAGAUAACCGAAAGU
rfam:Scleropages formosus scaffold5100, whole genome shotgun sequence.